AUUGAACGCUGGCGGCAGGCCUAACACAUGCAAGUCGAGCGAGCGGCGGACGGGUGAGUAAUGUAUAGGGACUGCUCGCUAGAGGUGGCUAACUACUGGAAACGGUAGCUAAUACCGCAUACUAUCGGAUAACCCAUAUGGGAUUAGCUAGUAGGUGAGGGAAUGGCUCACCUAGGCGACGAUCCCUAGCUGGUCUGAGAGGAUGAUCAGCCACACUGGGACUGAGACACGGCCCAGACUCCUACGGAGGCAGCAGUGGGGAAUAUUGCACAAUGGGCGCAAGCCUGAUGCAGCCAUGCCGCGUGUAUGAAGAAGGCCCUAGGGUGGUAAAGUACUUUCAGUCGGGAGGCGUUACCGACAGAAGAAGCACCGGCUAACUCCGUGCCAGCAGCCGCGGUAAUAC
rnacentral:rRNA from 1 species